ACUGAAUAAUAAUUUAUAAGUGCUCGAGACCGUUUCGUUGAGAGAUAAUAGGGAAUCCGGUGAAAAUCCGGAGCAGCCCCCGCUACUGUAAAAGCUGUUUUUUAUAAACAAAUACUAAGUCAGGAGACCUGCUUAUAAAUGUUUCUGUAU
rnacentral:ncRNA from 1 species